rnacentral:rRNA from 1 species
UUCCGUAGGUGAACCUGCGGAAGGAUCAUUAUGAAUAAGUAGUUUGCUACUUUGUUGGGGGAGAUGGGAAAGUCCUGGCUGAAAAGCUAGUGUACCGGUACCUGCACCCCUAUCAUACCCUUGUCUUUUGAGUACUUAUGUUUCCUUGGUAGGCUUGCUUACCAAUUGGACAAUUUACAAACCUUUAUUUCUUAAAUCAGCGUCUGAAUAAAUUAAUAAUUACAACUUUCAACAACGGAUCUCUUGGUUCUGGCAUCGAUGAAGAACGCAGCGAAAUGCGAUAAGUAGUGUGAAUUGCAGAAUUCAGUGAAUCAUCGAAUCUUUGAACGCACAUUGCGCCCCUUGGUAUUCCAUGGGGCAUGCCUGUUCGAGCGUCAUUUGUACCCUCAAGCUAUGCUUGGUGUUGGGUGUUUGUCCUUUGUUUUAUAGCUUGGACUCGCCUCAAAGUAAUUGGCAGCCAAAUGUUUUGGUAGAAAGCGCAGCACAUUUUGCAAUUUCCUCCAAGAGUAUUAGCGACCAAUAAGCCUUUCUAACACUUUUGACCUCGGAUCAGGUAGGGAUACCCGCUGAAC